GGUUUUUAUUUCGCCAUAGUUUCCUCCUGGACUUUCUCAGCUUUUCCCACCCCAGCGCCAGUGGGAGGGAGGUGGCCUGACAAGUGGGAAGAGGCUGGGGCCAGAGGAAACCAGCAGGAGCUACAGAGUAUAGGCUGAGGCCUUUCCAGGCCCGGAUGUAGAGCCUGCAGCUGGAGGGGCUCGUGUAGGCCAAGGCGUCCCCCUUCCUUCCAGGCCUCCUGCUUCCUCAAGGGAGACUUUGACUUCCUCAGCAAUUCAUCCCCAGGGCCGGAUCCUGCCAGCGCUGGUUCCCGCUCCCCAGGGUUUCCCCGCUGCCUCACUUUCCUCCCACCAUCCCGGCUCAAGAAGAGGACCCAUGACCUUGGAGGCCACACACCUGCUGUUGAGAGUUCUGCUGGUGCUCCUGGCCUCAGGUGAGGGUGAAUCUUACCAUGUUUAUGAUGACGUCCAAAAGGAGAAGACCACUACUACAUACCACUGGGAGAGCCCAUCUCCAACAAAUGAUCCCUGACUUGGAUUUCCUGUUUGCAUUGGUCUGGCUGCAGCACCAGGAGCCACCCUCAUGAACUGUCAAAACCCGGGGGAUUUACCUAGACCUAGAGCUCCAACGUUACUUCUUAUUUUUUGAAACAGAGUCAUUCUGUCACCCAGGCUGGAGUGCAGUGGCAUG